rnacentral:rRNA from 1 species
GACGAACGCUGGCGGCGUGCCUAACACAUGCAAGUCGAACGGAGAACUUAUGGAAUGCGACUUCGGUCAAAUGAAGUAAGUUCUUAGUGGCGGACGGGCGAGUAACGCGUGAGCAACCUGCCCUUCAGAGGGGAACAACAGUUGGAAACGACUGCUAAUACCGCAUAACGUCAUUUGAGGGCAUCCUCGAAUGACCAAAGAUUUAUCGCUGAAGGAUGGGCUCGCGUCCGAUUAGAUAGUUGGUGGGGUAACGGCCUACCAAGUCGACGAUCGGUAGCCGAACUGAGAGGUUGAUCGGCCGCAUUGGGACUGAGACACGGCCCAGACUCCUACGGGAGGCAGCAGUGGGGGAUAUUGCACAAUGGAGGAAACUCUGAUGCAGCAACGCCGCGUGAGGGAAGACGGUCUUCGGAUUGUAAACUUCUUUUACCAGGGACGAAGAACGUGACGGUACCUGGAGAAAAAGCCACGGCUAACUACGUG